UACGUAGGGUGCAAGCGUUGUCCGGAAUUAUUGGGCGUAAAGAGCUCGUAGGCGGUCUGUCACGUCGGACGUGAAAAUCCAGGGCUCAACCCUGGACCUGCGUUCGAUACGGGCAGACUAGAGUUCGGUAGGGGAGACUGGAAUUCUUGGUGUAGCGGUGAAAUGCGUAGAUAUCAAGAGGAACACCUGAGGUGAAGACAGGUUGCUGGGCCAACACUGACGCUGAGGCGCGAAAGCCAGGGGAGCAAACGGG
rnacentral:rRNA from 1 species